GAAGGGGGCUAGCGUUGCUCGGAAUGACUGGGCGUAAAGGGCGCGUAGGCUGUCUGUACAGUCAGAUGUGAAAUCCCCGGGCUUAACCUGGGAACUGCAUUUGAUACGUGCAGACUAGAGUCCGAGAGAGGGUUGUGGAAUUCCCAGUGUAGAGGUGAAAUUCGUAGAUAUUGGGAAGAACACCGGUUGCGAAGGCGGCAACCUGGCUCGGAACUGACGCUGAGGCGCGAAAGCGUGGGGAGCGAACAGGAUUAGAUACCCUGGUAGUCCACGCUGUAAACGAUGUGUGCUGGAUGUUGGGUGAUUUUAUCAUUCAGUGUCGGAGCUAACGCGUUAAGCACACCGCCUGGGGAGUACGGCCGCAAGGUUG
rnacentral:rRNA from 1 species